rnacentral:lncRNA from 1 species
GUGGGUAUCAUGGGUUAACAUCUAUGAAGGCAACUUUGUGAUACAUCCUUUGAAUUUAGGGGUUUACUUGCCCUGGUGCUUUAUCCUAAGUCCGCCUCCUGGAGGUCUCCCAUUUUCAAUAGAUACCCAGAACUGAAAUAACUGAUGCAGGGUGGAAAUGUAAGAGAAGUAGCAGACUGGAGGAAGUAACGGCUGGGUCUCCAGCUAGACAGUUCUGAAGGCCCGGUUUUGUGGAGCGGUGAGGGGGAGGAAAUGCACGCUGUGGACAAAGGCUAACGGCAAGGAGAAAGGAAGGAGAAGAACAGCACCAGGGCUCCAGGAAAAUCAACCAACUCCAAAGCCCAGGAGGUCAUAAAGCUUCAUGAGAGGAUGUAGUGCCAAAGUCCUGCCCUGGGGAGCAGAACAAACAGUCCAAGAAGCUGGGAAGACCAACAUGUGCUUGAACACGUGGAGUUUUCCAGAGGCUACGUGAUGUGUGAUAUGGCAACAGAUUGAAUAUAGAAGCAAACAUGAGAAUCCAGCUGCAAAAAGAUUUGCAGAACUGCAAAAUAAUGCCACUCUCCUCAUUAAUUUUUUUUGGUUUAGAAAAUAGUGCUAUUUUC